rnacentral:RNase_P_RNA from 1 species
GAAGUCCGCCAGGCAGCCGCGGCACCCAGCUUUACCGUGGGUGUCGAGGAAAGUCCGGGCCCCAUAGAGCAGGAUGCCGGCUAACGGCCGGGCGCCGCGAGGCGACGAACAGGGCAACAGAAAACAUACCGCCGAUGGCCCCGCAAGGGGAUCAGGUAAGGGCGAACCGGUGGGGUAAGAGCCCACCGCGGACGUGGUGACACGGACGGCACGGUAACCUCCAUCCGGGGCAAGGCCAAAUAGGGGAGCAUGGGCGUGGCUCGCGCUGCUCCCGGGUAGGCUGCUUGAGCCUGUCGGCAACGGCAGGCCCAGAGGAAUGGCUGCCAGGCGGCCGCGCUCACGCGCUGCCGCUCCACAGAACCCGGCUUAUCGGCGGACUUCCACU